rnacentral:rRNA from 1 species
CCCGCUGAACUUAAGCAUAUCAAUAAGCGGAGGAAAAGAAACUAACAAGGAUUCCCCUAGUAACUGCGAGUGAAGCGGGAAAAGCUCAAAUUUGAAAUCUGGCGGUUCUUGACCGUCCGAGUUGUAAUCUAGAGAAGUGUUACCUGUGCUGGACCGUGUAAAAGUCUUCUGGAAUGGAGCAUCAUAGAGGGUGAGAAUCCCGUCUUUGACACGGACUACCUGUACAUUAUGGUGCGCUCUCAAAGAGUCGAGUUGUUUGGGAAUGCAGCUCAAAAUGGGUGGUAAAUGCCAUCUAAAGCUAAAUAUUGGCGAGAGACCGAUAGCGAACAAGUACCGUGAGGGAAAGAUGAAAAGCACUUUGGAAAGAGAGUUAAACAGUACGUGAAAUUGUUGAAAGGGAAACGUUUGAAGUCAGUCGCGUCGGCCGAGACUCAACCUUGCUUCUGCUCGGUGCACUUCUCGGUUGACGGGUCAGCAUCAAUUUUGACCGCCGGAUAAAGGUCGGGGGAAUGUGGCAUCCUUCGGGAUGUGUUAUAGACCUCGAUUCGGAUACGGCGAUUGGGAUUGAGGAACUCGGCGCUUUGCGUCCAGGAUGCUGGCAUAAUGGCUUUAAGCGGCCCGUCUUGAAACACGG